UACGUAGGGUGCGAGCGUUGCCCGGAUUUAUUGGGCGUAAAGGGCGCGUAGGCGGCCACGCACGUCCGUUGUGAAAUCGCUCGGCUCAACUGGGCGGGGUCAGCGGAUACGGAGUGGCUGGAGCAAGCUAGGGGGCAAUGGAAUUCCCGGUGUAGUGGUGGAAUGCGUAGAUAUCGGGAGGAACACCAGUGGCGAAGGCGGUUGCCUGGAGCUUUGCUGACGCUGAUGCGCGAAAGCGUGGGGAGCGAACCGG
rnacentral:rRNA from 1 species